AGAGUUUGAUCCUGGCUCAGGACGAACGCUGGCGGCACGCCUAACACAUGCAAGUCGAACGGAGAAAAUAGCUUCGGUUGUUUUCUUAGUGGCGGACGGGUGAGUAACACGUGAGGAACCUGCCUUUGAGAGUGGGAUAGCUUCUGGAAACGGAUGGUAAUACCGCAUAACAUAGCGAAACCGCAUGAUUUUGCUAUCAAAGUAUUUCGCUCAGAGAUGGCCUCGCGUCUGAUUAGAUAGUUGGUGAGGUAACGGCUCACCAAGUCGACGAUCAGUAGCCGGACUGAGAGGUUGAACGGCCACAUUGGGACUGAGACACGGCCCAGACUCCUACGGGAGGCAGCAGUGGGGGAUAUUGCACAAUGGGGGAAACCCUGAUGCAGCGAUGCCGCGUGGAGGAAGAAGGUUUUCGGAUUGUAAACUCCUGUCGUAAGGGAAGAGGAAGGACUGUACCUUACAAGAAAGCUCCGGCUAACUACGUGCCAGCAGCCGCGGUAAUACGUAGGGAGCGAGCGUUGUCCGGAAUGACUGGGUGUAAAGGGAGCGUAGGCGGGAUGGCAAGUCAGAUGUGAAACCUGAGGGCUCAACCUUCAGACUGCAUUUGAAACUGCUGUUCUUGAGUGAAGUAGAGGUAAGCGGAAUUCCUGGUGUAGCGGUGAAAUGCGUAGAGAUCAGGAGGAACAUCGGUGGCGAAGGCGGCUUACUGGGCUUUUACUGACGCUGAGGCUCGAAAGCGUGGGGAGCAAACAGGAUUAGAUACCCUGGUAGUCCACGCUGUAAACGAUGAUUACUAGGUGUGGGGGGAUUGACCCCUUCCGUGCCGCAGUUAACACAAUAAGUAAUCCACCUGGGGAGUACGACCGCAAGGUUGAAACUCAAAGGAAUUGACG
rnacentral:rRNA from 1 species